rnacentral:rRNA from 1 species
UACGUAGGUGGCAAGCGUUGUCCGGAAUUACUGGGCGUAAAGCGCGCGUAGGCUGUUGUGUAAGUUGGGGGUGAAAUCCCACGGCUCAACCGUGGAACAGCCCUUGAUACUGCGCGACUUGAAUCCGGGAGAGGGUGGCGGAAUUCCAGGUGUAGGAGUGAAAUCCGUAGAUAUCUGGAGGAACAUCAGUGGCGAAGGCGGCCACCUGGACCGGUACUGACGCUGAGGCGCGAAAGCGUGGGGAGCAAACAGG